CGCCCUGUUGUCAUCCCCCGGAUGUACCGUCCAGUUUGCUUUUGUAACAACCCAGUUAUUAAUAUUGGAGGGCGAAGACAACAGCGUUUACCCGCAACCGACGAGCUUAUCGCUCCAAUAGAUAAAGAAACAACCAUGGUCUGACUGCUAAUUAAAGCAACCAUCUACGUGGUGAGGAAGAUCCGGGCUUCCAUUGCUGAGGGAGAGCAACUGGAAAAGCCCAUCAUAACACCAUGUAGUGCUAUUGCUGAAAUGAGAGCGGGACAUGAGUCGAGAGGAAACGCCCCAGCGGCAGCGCUGAUCUCCGGACCGGAUGAUGGUGUCAGCGGAGCAGCGGGCCCAGGGACGUCCUCAGAGAGAGCUGCGCAGAAAUGUGGCUCCUCCUGACGUUAAAGAUCACGCUGGACACUGGACUAUGGACACCUUAAGGGGAAAACAUAAUUUGACAUUGUACUUUAGCAUUAUGGGACAAUAUAACACUUUGAUGAUUCCAUGUUUAUACAGAAUACAUACAAUAGUCAGCUUUAAUUUUUCCAAUAAGUAAAAACUGUACAUUCAUGGACAAUACAAAGAACAACAUUCCACUGCUGUCCAGUGUCCAUGCUGAAGUCGGUGAUAAAAGUCCAGCUCCCAGUGAUGCACACUGAGGCCUUUUUCACAGCAGAUGUUUUGACUUACCAAUGGACAAAAGCGGUAGAGCUAAUUACUGAUGACUCUUUCCCAUUGAGAGUUACACACAAUACUACAGGGACCUGAAUGUAAUGGAGACAUUCAUGUUGUUUUAUGCAUUUGGUUAGUCAACAUUACAUUUUCUGUGAAAAGGGCCUGUAUUUAUGUACUGCAGUGUUUGAAGGCCAACUCACCAACCUCUAUCCAGGGGCUGAGUGGGCCUGAUGUUUCUGCUGCUGAAUCAAUAAAUUAAAAGACAAAGACGAUCAACAA